rnacentral:lncRNA from 1 species
AGUCGCCGAGCCGGUCAGCAGCGUGCACGGAGAUCUUCACUCUGCGCCCAGCCCCGGGACACAGGUGCAGAUCUCCAGCGGAGCACUGCGGAGUGCGCGCCGUCGAGCACUAGGGAAUCCUAGACGGAGGACUUGGUCCAUUCCACGCAGUCCCAGGCAGGUCCGCAGCGGAGGGACGCAGCGGUCUCCAACUCCUGGUCACGACUUCGGCGACCCUCCACCCCCUGAGAGACCUGGUCCCACGGAGCUGUCCCCCCAGGAGCCGCAGCGGGAAUAGCAAAGCAAAGGGGACCACUCAGCCCCCAGGAGGAGCCCUGAAGCAAAAAGGUUGCUGCGGGGAGCCACGUUCCCUCUGGUUCACCUCGAAGCCCAGGAGCUCCGGUCCCUGGACCAAGGAGUGAACAGACCUGAGGAAGAGGUGCAAGCUUAAAGUGUUGCUGCCAGACCUUUCUUCUCUUCUAAUGUACCAAGUGAAGAAUGUUGAAAUAUCCAACUAUAAUUUGUGGAUUUCUCCUUUCAAUGCUAUCAUUUUUGGUGCUUCAUGUAUUUUUGAAGCUCUAUUAUUAGACAGAGUCUUACUUUGUCGCCCAGGCUGGAGUUCAGUGGCACAAUCAGGGCUUACUGCAGCCUCAACCUUCCAGGCUCGAGUGAUCCUCCCUGCUCAGCCCCUGGUGGGACUACAGGGAUGCGCCACCAUGCCCAGCUAAUUUUUUUUUAGUAGAGAUGGGUUUUUGCCUGCCUGCCUGCUUUCCUUCCUUCCUUCCUUCCUUCCUUCCUCCCUUCCUUCCUUCCUUCCUUCCUUCUUCAGGGUCUUCCUCUGUCACUCAAACUGGAGUGCAGUGGUAUUAUCUCAGCUUACUGCAACCUCCACCUCCCGGGUUCAAGCAAUUCUCAUGCCUCAGCCUCCCAAGUAGCUGGGAUCACAGGUAUGUGUCAUGAUACCUGGCUAAUUUUUGUGUUUUUUCUAAAGAUGGGGUUUCGCAAUGUUGACCAGGCUGAUCUUGAACUCCUGGCCUCAGGUGAUCCACCCACUUCGGCCUCCCAAACUGUUGGGAUUACAGGCGUGAGCCAUCAAGCCUGACCUCAAGUUCCCUCUUUCUAAUCUGGAAUUGAGAAUAGCACUAGCAUCCAGGCCCACCUCAAAGGGUCAGACUGAAGUUCAGAUGGCCCAAGGAUGCACUAGAAAGUUCUUUAUGCAAUGUAAAUGAGAGUUGCCUACUCUUGUCAGGCUCAAGUACCUUCACUCUACAGGCAACUGGCUACAGGCUUCUCACCCUGAGCGGUGGUCAGCUCAGCCAACUCACCCUCUCCACCCUCCUCCCUCCCUCCUUUUUCACAGGAAACUUAAGAGUCAGAUCUCUUCCACUGCAAAUGGAGAUUCUUGAUUUGGAGAGAAUAAGAUAAAGGACCUGACAUCAAUCCUUACUCUUGAAAGCAUGUUGUUACUUUCUAAAUAUUAUUGAAAUUAAAAAAAAAAAAUCUUCCCCCCAAAUCAGUAUAUUUGAAUUGCUAACAAGCCUCUCUGCCUUGUUUUUAUCUCAAAGAAUAAAAUGCUGAGCCCUGCGUGGGAUGCUAGAUGCUAGAGAACUCC